rnacentral:lncRNA from 1 species
CUCAUUUCUCUCUUUCUUUCCUCCAGCUUUAUCCCUGGCACUCCCACUCCCAUUAGUUUUCUCAGAAUUCUGUUUUGUUUGCCUCUCAAUUUUCCAUUCUCUUUUUUUUUUUUUUUGUUCUCAUUUCUAAGUCUCUAUUCCCACCCUUAUUUUAGGUCUCAACUAUAUUAUUAGCCCAGUGCUGCCUAUUCAGAUUUAUAUUUUGCAUAAAAGACAGAAGGAUUUGAAUGGAAGUGCGUGGUCUUUCUCUCAUGGCAACACUCCAUUGUUCUCAGUGAAUUUUGCAUUUGGACUUUCUGUGCGUGCUCAGGAGCAGGCAUCAGCCAUUUUAAUGCCCAAACCGCAGCUAUACAAGGC